rnacentral:rRNA from 1 species
AUACGUAGGGUGCGAGCGUUGUCCGGAAUUACUGGGCGUAAAGAGCUCGUAGGUGGUUUGUCGCGUCGUCUGUGAAAUUCCGGGGCUUAACUCCGGGCGUGCAGGCGAUCCGGGCAUAACUUGAGUACUGUAGGGGAGACUGGAAUUCCUGGUGUAGCGGAGAAAUGCGCAGAUAUCAGGAGGAACACCGGUGGCGAAGGCGGGUCUCUGGGCAGUAACUGACGCUGAGGAGCGAAAGCAUGGGUAGCGAACAGGAUUAGAUACCCUGGUAGUCCAUGCCGUAAACGGUGGGCGCUAGGUGUAGGGGUCUUCCACGACUUCUGUGCCGUAGCUAACGCAUUAAGCGCCCCGCCUGGGGAGUACGGCCGCAAGGCUAAGACUCAAAUGAAUUGACGGGG